rnacentral:rRNA from 1 species
AACAAGGAUGCCCUUAGUAACGGCGAGUGAAGCGGGAUGAGCUCAAAUUUGAAAGCUGGCGUGCUUGCGCGUCCGCAUUGUAAUUUCUAGAGGCGUUUUCCACGCUGGACCACGUACAUGUUCCUUGGAAUAGGAUGUCAUAGAGGGUGAGAAUCCCGUACUUGACGUGGACGACCAUGCGUUUUGUGAUACGCUCUCGAAGAGUCGAGUUGUUUGGGAUUGCAGCUCUAAAUUGGUGGUAAAUUCCAUCUAAAGCUAAAUAUUGGGGAGAGACCGAUAGCGAACAAGUACCGUGAGGGAAAGAUGAAAAGCACUUUGGAAAGAGAGUUAAACAGUACGUGAAAUUGUCAAAAGGGAAGCGUUGGAAGUUAGUCAUGGGUCGUGUAGCUCAGCUUGUGUUUUCAUUGGCUUUCUCUAUGCGAUCCAAGCCAGCAUCGGUUUUGACUGUCGGAUAAGAGCAGGAGGAAAGUGGCUUUUUCGGAAGACCUUAUAGCCUCUUGCUGGAUACGACGGUUGGGACCGAGGA